rnacentral:rRNA from 1 species
UAGCUAGUUGGUGAGGUAAUGGCCCACCAAGGCGACGAUCGGUAGCCGGACUGAGAGGUUGAACGGCCACAUUGGGACUGAGACACGGCCCAGACUCCUACGGGAGGCAGCAGUGGGGAAUAUUGCACAAUGGGGGAAACCCUGAUGCAGCGACGCCGCGUGGAGGAAGAAGGUCUUCGGAUUGUAAACUCCUGUUGUUGGGGAAGAUAAUGACGGUACCCAACAAGGAAGUGACGGCUAACUACGUGCCAGCAGCCGCGGUAAAACGUAGGUCACAAGCGUUGUCCGGAAUUACUGGGUGUAAAGGGAGCGCAGGCGGGAAGACAAGUUGGAAGUGAAAUCUAUGGGCUCAACCCAUAAACUGCUUUCAAAACUGUUUUUCUUGAGUAGUGCAGAGGUAGGCGGAAUUCCCGGUGUAGCGGUGGAAUGCGUAGAUAUCGGGAGGAACACCAGUGGCGAAGGCGGCCUACUGGGCACCAACUGACGCUGAGGCUCGAAAGUGUGGGUAGCAAACAGGAUUAGAUACCCUGGUAGUCCACACCGUAAACGAUGAUUACUAGGUGUUGGAGGAUUGACCCCUUCAGUGCCGCAGUUAACACAAUAAGUAAUCCACCUGGGGAGUACGACCGCAAGGUUGAAACUCAAAGGAAUUGACGGGGGCCCGCACAAGCAGUGGAGUAUGUGGUUUAAUUCGACGCAACGCGAAGAACCUUACCAAGUCUUGACAUCCCUUGACGAUGCUGGAAACAGUGUUUCUCUUCGGAGCAAGGAGACAGGUGGUGCAUGGUUGUCGUCAGCUCGUGUCGUGAGAUGUUGGGUUAAGUCCCGCAACGAGCGCAACCCUUAUGGUCAGUUACUACGCAAGAGGACUCUGGCCAGACUGCCGUUGACAAAACGGAGGAAGGUGGGGAUGACGUCAAAUCAUCAUGCCCUUUAUGACUUGGGCUACACACGUACUACAAUGGCGUUAAACAAAGAGAAGCAAGACCGCGAGGUGGAGCAAAACUCAGAAACAACGUCCCAGUUCGGACUGCAGGCUGCAACUCGCCUGCACGAAGUCGGAAUUGCUAGUAAUCGUGGAUCAGCAUGCCACGGUGAAUACGUUCCCGGGCCUUGUACACACCGCCCGUCACACCAUGAGAGCCGGGGGGACCCGAAGUCGGUAGUCUAACCGCAAGGAGGACGCCGCCGAAGGUAAAACUGGUGAUUGGGGUGAAGUCGUAACAAGGUAA